rnacentral:hammerhead_ribozyme from 1 species
AUCCAGCUGACGAGUCUCAAAUAGAACGAAAAGUGCGUCAAGCUGGAU